AGUGAACGCUGGCGGUAGGCCUAACACAUGCAAGUCGAACGGCAGCACAGUAAGAGCUUGCUCUUACGGGUGGCGAGUGGCGGACGGGUGAGGAAUACAUCGGAAUCUACUUUUUCGUGGGGGAUAACGUAGGGAAACUUACGCUAAUACCGCAUACGACCUACGGGUGAAAGCAGGGGAUCUUCGGACCUUGCGCGAUUGAAUGAGCCGAUGUCGGAUUAGCUAGUUGGCGGGGUAAAGGCCCACCAAGGCAACGAUCCGUAGCUGGUCUGAGAGGAUGAUCAGCCACACUGGAACUGAGACACGGUCCAGACUCCUACGGGAGGCAGCAGUGGGGAAUAUUGGACAAUGGGCGCAAGCCUGAUCCAGCCAUGCCGCGUGAGUGAAGAAGGCCUUCGGGUUGUAAAGCCCUUUUGUUGGGAAAGAAAAGCAGCAGGUUAAUACCCCGCUGUUCUGACGGUACCCAAAGAAUAAGCACCGGCUAACUUCGUG
rnacentral:rRNA from 1 species